GCUUGCUUCAGCAGCGCUUACGCUAAAAUUGGAACAAAACAGAGAAGACGCACAUAGCCCCUGGGCAAGAAUGACACACAAAUUCCUUUGCCCUAUUUUGGUUUU
ensembl:snRNA U6 U6 spliceosomal RNA